AUAGAAACAGGCAGUUUUGCAUUUUGCACCACUGAUUCAUGGUUAUUACACAGAAACUACCAGACGUGUUUCCAGUUAAGAAGUCACAAGAUUAAACAUAUUUUGUAAUCAUCUAUUUUGGA